CUCCUACCUGUUAGCAUUAAC
rnacentral:miRNA from 2 species